GGGGCCAUGGCUCAGUGGUAGAGCCUCUGCUUUGAAUGCAGGGGGUCCCGGGUUCAAUCCCCGGCAGCAUCU